UACGUAGGCAGCAAGCGUUGUUCGGAAUUACUGGGCGUAAAGAGUGUGUAGGCGGUGUUCCAAGUCUGGUGUGAAAUCUCCCGGCUUAACUGGGAGGGUGCAUUAGAAACUGGAAUGCUAGAGGAUGGGAGAGGUAAGCGGAAUUCCUGGUGUAGCGGUGAAAUGCGUAGAUAUCAGGAGGAACACCUGUGGUGUAGACAGCUUACUGGACCAUUUCUGACGCUGAGACACGAAAGCGUGGGGAGCGAACAGG
rnacentral:rRNA from 1 species